rnacentral:rRNA from 1 species
UACGGAGGAUCCAAGCGUUAUCCGGAAUCAUUGGGUUUAAAGGGUCCGUAGGCGGUCUAAUAAGUCAGGCGUGCAAGCCCGUGGCUCAACCACGGAAUUGCGUUUGAAACUGCUUAGCUUGAGUACAGGAGAGGAAAGCGGAAUUCCCAGUGUAGCGGUGAAAUGCAUUGAUAUUGGGAAGAACAUCUGUGGCGAAGGCGGCUUUCUGGUCUGUUACUGACGCUGAGAUACGAAAGCCAGGGGAGCAAAGGGG